CCCCCCGAUCCCAUUACAGUAGGUUCAAGGGAUAUAUGACCACAGUAAAAAGGUUCUAUAGUAUAGCUUCUUGAACCCCUUACUCUCUCUUAGUACAAGGAUUCAAGAUUACAAUGACCUAUGUAAAAGUUUCUAGGGCACAGAUAUAAGCUCUCAAUCCCUUUACCACCCCAUCCAACCCCUUAUAUUAGGUUCAAAGGGGUAUUUAAAAGGUAUUACAUCUUAAGAGGCGACAAAACACCCGAUCCAACCCCUUAUAUUAGGUUCAAAAGGGGUAUUUAAAAGGUAUUACAUCUUAAGAGGCGACAAAACACCCGAUCCAACCCCUUAUAUUAGGUUCAAAGGGGUUUUUAAAAGGUAUUACAUCUUAAGAGACGACAAAACACCCGAUCCAACCCCUUAUAUUAGGUUCAAAAGGGGUAUUUAAUAGGUACUUCAUCUUAAGAGGCGACAGAGGUCCUUCUAUACGGCCCCUGCAGCCAUGUUACACAACGGGCGAGGAAAAAGUCAGAGCCCGUUACCUUUAAGCCGGUAAUUAAAGGUGCGCUGGGGACAGGUGGCGCCCGUACAACACCGGAGCGCCCUCGCGUACAACUCUUUCUGGCUACCUGAUUUUUUUUCCUUUUUUUAUUUACGGUUCCAUAUUUUUUUUACUGAUUGGGUUGAUUUUUUUCUUUUUUUAUAUUCCCUCUUUUUUUUACUUUCUC